rnacentral:lncRNA from 1 species
UAGGUGUUAAAUAAAACUCAUCAGAUUGCUGCCAAUAUCCAUCUUGUUGAGCCUCCUUGGUUUGAUUUUGUGAGCCCUGCACCAAAGAAUUUAUUUCAUCAAAAAUUUGAUCAUAAUCUAUUGACGAACCUGAGUUUGAUUGAGCAUAUUGUAUAUGAGGUUGUGAUGGCUGCAUAGGUCUUAAAUGGAACUCCUCUUCUUGCUGCCAAUAUCCAUCUUGUUGGAAUUGUUGAGGUUCUAUGUAAUCUGAAUAAUCUCUUCAAUCCGAAUUGUAAACGUUGGAAAACAUGUUGUCCCAUGAUUGGCUAUGGCCUUGAUAACCCCAAGCA